GCAAACUUGGUCAUUUAGAGGAAGUAAAAGUCGUAACAAGGUUUCCGUAGGUGAACCUUCGGAAGGAUCAUUACCGUAACGCGGCGGUUUGGCACCCGUAAAGGGGGCCGGCCGCCACACGCGUUUAUCCCACCCUUGAUUUUGAGCACCUUUUGUUUCCUCGGCGGGGACGCCCGCCAGCGAGGACCCCCCGAACUCUUUGCAGUUUGCAGUAUUUGUCUGAAAAACAAACCAAACAUUUAAAACUUUCAACAAUGGAUCUCUUGGUUCUGGCAUCGAUGAAGAACGCAGC
rnacentral:misc_RNA from 1 species